rnacentral:rRNA from 1 species
AUGACGAACGCUGGCGGCGUGCCUAAUACAUGCAAGUCGAGCGAGUCUGCCUUGAAGAUCGGAGUGCUUGCACUCUGUGAAACAAGAUACAGGCUAGCGGCGGACGGGUGAGUAACACGUGGGUAACCUGCCCAAGAGAUCGGGAUAACACCUGGAAACAGAUGCUAAUACCGGAUAACAACAGAUGAUGCCUAUCAACUGUUUAAAAGAUGGUUCUGCUAUCACUCUUGGAUGGACCUGCGGUGCAUUAGCUAGUUGGUAGGGUAACGGCCUACCAAGGCGAUGAUGCAUAGCCGAGUUGAGAGACUGAUCGGCCACAUUGGGACUGAGACACGGCCCAAACUCCUACGGGAGGCAGCAGUAGGGAAUCUUCCACAAUGGACGCAAGUCUGAUGGAGCAACGCCGCGUGAGUGAAGAAGGCUUUCGGGUCGUAAAACUCUGUUGUUGGAGAAGAAUGGUCGGCAGAGUAACUGUUGUCGGCGUGACGGUACCGGAAUAGAAAGCCACGGCUAACUACGUGCCAGCAGCCGCGGUAAUACGUAGGUGGCAAGCGUUGUCCGGAAUUAUUGGGCGUAAAGCGAGCGCAGGCGGUUUUUUAAGUCUGAUGUGAAAGCCCUCGGCUUAACCGAGGAAGUGCAUCGGAAACUGGGAAACUUGAGUGCAGAAGAGGACAGUGGAACUCCAUGUGUAGCGGUGAAAUGCGUAGAGAUCUGGAGGAAUACCGGUGGCGAAGGCGGCCCCCUGGACAAAGACUGACGCUCAGGUGCGAAAGCGUGGGGAGCAAACAGGAUUAGAUACCCUGGUAGUCCAUGCCGUAAACGAUGAAUGCUAGGUGUUGGAGGGUUUCCGCCCUUCAGUGCCGCAGCUAACGCAUUAAGCAUUCCGCCUGGGGAGUACGACCGCAAGGUUGAAACUCAAAGGAAUUGACGGGGGCCCGCACAAGCGGUGGAGCAUGUGGUUUAAUUCGAUGCAACGCGAAGAACCUUACCUGGUCUUGACAUCCACGGAAGUUUUCAGAGAUGAGAAUGUGCCUUCGGGAACCGUGAGACAGGUGCUGCAUGGCUGUCGUCAGCUCGUGUUGUGAAAUGUUGGGUUAAGUCCCGCAACGAGCGCAACCCUUAUCCUUUGUUGCCAGCGGUCCGGCCGGGAACUCAAAGGAGACUGCCAGUGAUAAACUGGAGGAAGGUGGGGAUGACGUCAAGUCAUCAUGGCCCUUACGACCAGGGCUACACACGUGCUACAAUGGCGCAUACAAAGAGAAGCGACCUCGCGAGAGCAAGCGGACCUCAUAAAGUGCGUCGUAGUCCGGAUUGGAGUCUGCAACUCGACUCCAUGAAGUCGGAAUCGCUAGUAAUCGUGGAUCAGAAUGCCACGGUGAAUACGUUCCCGGGCCUUGUACACACCGCCCGUCACACCAUGGGAGUGGGUUGCAAAAGAAGUAGGUAGCUUAACCUUCGGGAGGGCGCUUACCACUUUGUGAUUCAUGACUG